ACAUGGAUUGGCAGAGGGGAAAUUGGAGGGAAUAUAAUGGAGAACGCUGGUGACUUACCCCGAAUGUUCAACCUUUUACCAUGGAGCAAUUUGGAAAUAUGUGCAGCGAUACAUUCCCUCUACGAGUUACAAUGUGACAAAGAUAUGCAGAAGCCAUUGUUUUGCACCCAAAUUUGUAUUGCUCAAAGAGUUUUUUUCCCUUUUCAUUAAUAUUCGCAGCUCUCAAUUGCCCGCACAGCUUCAUUGAGAUCUCUGGCUACCACUACUGGCCUUACUUCUCCGCUCAUCGAAUCAAUCCAUCCCAACCCUGUCCGAUCAACCCAUGCUGUCUUCAUUUCUACAUUAGCCGCCCCCAUUACGUCAAACGGGUUGCUGCUAAUAAGCCACAUUUCGUCCAUUUGCGACCUGUCCUUGCCAGCUGUAUCGGCUAGAUGCCAGUACGUAUCUGGCGCCGGUUUGAAUUCCUUGACAGGAUUGACGGAGAUGAUAUCGCGGAAUAUGCUGGCGUAGGGUGAUAAGUCUCUGGACCGUAGGACUGAAUUUGAGAUCAUGGAAAUUGUUCCGUUGGAAAACACUACUGGGGUGUCUGGA
rnacentral:sRNA from 1 species